rnacentral:rRNA from 1 species
UACGGGGGGGGCAAGCGUUGUUCGGAAUUACUGGGCGUAAAGGGCUCGUAGGCGGCCAACUAAGUCAUACGUGAAAUCCCUCGGCUUAACCGGGGAACUGCGUCUGAUACUGGAUGGCUUGAGAUUGGGAGAGGGAUGCGGAAUUCCAGGUGUAGCGGUGAAAUGCGUAGAUAUCUGGAGGAACACCGGUGGCGAAGGCGGCAUCCUGGACCAACACUGACGCUGAGUGAGCGAAAGCCAGGGGAGCAAACGGG